rnacentral:lncRNA from 1 species
CACAGUCCGUCACCAAUUCUUCGACAUGUGAAUCGUGGAAGAGAAUUUACCCGAUCACUCACGGACAUGUAAAACCACCUGAUGGAGUCACCAUCUACCCAGGUAAUUACACAUGUUAUACAAUAUCUAAAAACACCGGUUUGUAUUUGGGCAAAUUCCCAUCAGGAUAUUGCUCAACUUACCAUAAUCCACCCGUAUCACUGCUAAUGAACCACACAAAGACAAUCGGCGACAUCUAUUGGUUAUGUGGGGAUAAACAAUUGAGGUCCCAAUUAAUUGGGCAAUGGUGGGGGGAGUGUGCCCUAACCAAAGUCAUAAUGCCUAUCCAUAUCAUUCCAGAUGGUGACCAUAACACGUUAAACCUCACACAUGCACACUCUAGAACCAAACGAGAGACUCCUAUUCGAGGGAGUUUCGACCCCCAUGUGUAUAUUGAUGCCAUAGGUGUGCCAAGGGGGGUGCCUAACGAAUUCAAAGCAAGAGAUGAAGUGGCUG